rnacentral:misc_RNA from 1 species
CAUCAGUUGUAAUGCCGGCUAAAAUAAUAUUUUGGAUGCCUUUGCGUCUGAGCAGUAAAUCUAAAUCCGUUGCAUAAAAAGAUCCUUUUCCCGGCUUAUCAAUCACAGUUUCUCCCGGUAAAGGUGCAAGCUCUGGAAUAAUUUCCCAACCGGCUUCCCCGCGAAUUAAAAUCUUUCCACAAGGGCCAGGAUCACCAAUGCCGGCACCAAUUUGACGUGAACGCCACUGCUUAUUUUCUGGUAAAUCAGAUAAAUCAGGACGGUGUCCUUCGCGGGUGUGCAUCACAUGAAAAUUUUUAGCCCGUGCGACUUCUAAAACUCGCUGAAUUGGCUCAAUUGGGGCGCGAGUUAGUGAUAAAUCGUAACCCAUUUUAUCAACAUAGCCACCAACGCCGCAGAAAUCCGUCUGC